UUACUUAAACUCCGUGCCAAGUCAAACAAGGUCAUUCUUUAUGAAACGGAGGGAGUAAAUUUUAUUUCAUCUUCUCUUGUUUGCUUAUGAUAACCCUGGAUGUUUGCUCAAGAUGUGAUCAUAUUACGUAGGUUGUGAGUUCUGAUCUUAGUAGCCUUUAUUCCCAUCCCGCGUAAGAACAUAUAUUCUAUUAUAAUUUUCUUGCCUGAUCAAUUCGUUGUUCAAAGCAUCUUCCGAACUUUUUGAUGAUUGUUUUGAAGAGGAUGUCAUGGAUACCCAACUUAAAGGUCUGUUUGCAUUUUUCUGUAGACAUAUAUUUUGAAUGUAAUUGAACAAUGCAUAAUAUAUAUACCAGUAAGUGUAAAUUAUCUGAUCUGAUUUUCAUUGCCAGUCACUGUGGACCUGACAGUCUCUAGAGAGGAAUAAGUUACCGUACGUAAGCGGUAAAUCUGGCGGUAAGUUUUUAGUAUGCUUACAAUCAUGUGCUUAUCCUUACUAUGUACUAGUUUGUGUGCAAGCUAAGAUAUAAUUUCCUUAAUCAUCAGGUAUAAGUGAUUUUGCUCAUAUAUGCACACUAUAGGUCUCUCGCUUUCUCUACAUUUAUUUGACAAGAAUGUUUUUUUCAAUUUCAAAAAGCAUGUGCUUUCAUUUCCCCCUUUUUUGAGGGGUUGUUUUAUUUCAGAUGUGAAUGUUACAAUGCCAAUUACCUGUUCUUGUUGAUAGUUCAAAAAUGUGCCAAUUUAGAUCUAAAUUUCAGGUUGCACUUCUUUCUUUUCAUCUUGCCUACUAUUCUAAAAUGAGGUUUUCUUCUGAUGCAUUUGCCAUUGCAACCUUUUUGGGAAAUAAUGUUCAAUUUAAUGAAUCAUGUGAAGAACAAUAAUUGUUAUAAGGUUAGGGAAUAAUUUUUGACAAACACAAUCAAUGGUGUAGAAGAAUCCGAAGCUGAGCUGAGAUGUUGCUCGGCUAAGUAUAUAGUAGAUGGCUCUAUCCUAUAACUAGGUCUGGAGGCAGUGGGAUCUGUAAAUUAAAUAGGCAGCUGGUGGAUAACAGCUCUUAUGGUUCUUUUUGUCAAAAGAUAUGUACAAUUGCUUAGAUUACAUUCCCUAAUUUAUUAAUGCAAUCAUCUGGUCGUUCCUAUGGAACUACGAGGAAGUUUUUGUCGUCCUUGGUGACCAAACAAUUGAAUGUCAAGUUGUCUGGUAAAUAAACAUGGAUAUUUAGUGUGGUAUAUCUACGUCUUUAUGUUAAACUAGUCUGGUGCAAGUGCAACAAAAUUGCAUCAAUUUAAAGGGUUACAUAUCUAAAAUAA